rnacentral:rRNA from 1 species
GACGAACGCUGGCGGCGUGCUUAACACAUGCAAGUCGAACGGAAAGGCCCUGCUUUUGUGGGGUGCUCGAGUGGCGAACGGGUGAGUAACACGUGAGUAACCUGCCCUUGACUUUGGGAUAACUUCAGGAAACUGGGGCUAAUACCGGAUAGGAGCUCCUGCUGCAUGGUGGGGGUUGGAAAGUUUCGGCGGUUGGGGAUGGACUCGCGGCUUAUCAGCUUGUUGGUGGGGUAGUGGCUUACCAAGGCUUUGACGGGUAGCCGGCCUGAGAGGGUGACCGGCCACAUUGGGACUGGGAUACGGCCCAGACUCGUACGGGAGGCAGCAGUGGGGAAUAGUGCACAAUGGGCGGAAGCCUGAUGCAGCAACGCCGCGUGCGGGAUGACGGCCUUCGGGUUGUAAACCGCUGUCGCCUGUGACGAAGCGUGAGUGACGGUAAUGGGUAAAGAAGCACCGGCUAACUACGUG